GAUCUUUAUUUUUAUUUUUUAUAAAUUAAAAAGAAUAAAAAUUUUUAUAAAUAGAUUAAAAAUUUUACUGGGGUGGUAUUAAAAUUUAAUAAACUUUUAAAAUUAUUUUACAUAAAUAUAUGAAUAAUUGAUCCAAUUUUAUUGAUUAAAAAAUUAAGUUACCUUAGGGAUAACAGCGUAAUUUUUUUUUAGAGUUCAUAUCGACAAAAAAGAUUGC
rnacentral:rRNA from 1 species